rnacentral:rRNA from 1 species
GACGAACGCUGGCGGCGUGCUUAACACAUGCAAGUCGAACGGGUCUGCCCUGUUUUUUGCGGGGUGGGUCAGUGGCGAACGGGUGAGUAACACGUGAGUAACCUUCCCCUCACUUCUGGAUAACCGCUUGAAAGGGUGGCUAAUACGGGGUGUUCUGGCUGUGCCGCAUGGUGUGGCUGGGAAAGAUUCACUUUUGUGGUGUUUUGGUGGGGGAUGGGCUCGGGGUCUAUCAGCUUGUUGGAGGGGUGAUGGCCUGCCAAGGGUUUGACGGGUCGCCGGCCUGGGAGGGUGGGCGGUCACGCGGGGACUGAGAGACGGCCCAGACUCCUGCGGGAGGCAGCAGUGGGGGGUAUUGCACAAUGGGCGGAAGCCUGAUGCAGGGACGGCGCGUGAGGGAUGGAGGCCUUCGGGUUGUGAACCUCUUUCGCCGGUGAAGAAGGUCCUGCUCUUUGGGGUGGGGUUGACGGUAGCCGGGUUAUGAAGCGCCGGCUAACUACGUG